ensembl:antisense
AUUUAGGGGAAAUAGGGACAGGGUUGGCCCUAUCUAGCAAGGGAGUCCCCUAGUGCUCCUCCCAAUUGUCCUGUGACCUAAAAGUUUACCUCAGAAUGAAAGCCUCGUGGUUUCCCCCUUCCUUGGAGGCUGGCCCAGAGGAGUCUCCGUGGGCCUUUGGAGGGAAGAACUAGCCAGACCCCUGAAGGCUGCAGCCCAGGCACAGCUAUCUUCUCCUGCCAGCCUUCCUGCCGCCUUGCCUUGAGUGGGAAGCAGUCAGCCCUGCCUCCUUGAGGGAGAGGCCUGUGUGGAGGCACUAUGGGGGUGAGCGGUUGCCUACACUUUGCCUCUCUCGAAUCUGGAUGGUCACAUAGAUUGCAUUUGCAAUAACUCUGCUGACAAUUAUCUGAAAGUCUUUCUCAUCAGAGGGAGAUUCUGUUAUCUUUCUGCAACAAGUCCCACAGGCAGGUACUGCACUCUUUAUCAUUCUUACCAUUGACCUGAAGCCUAAGGGUCCAGGAAGCUCAGCUGCCUCUAACACUCAGUUCCUGAGGUGAGUCUUCUAAGGUGACACUUACCAAUUUUACAGAGUCCUUAGUACUCAGAGUCUAAGAUGGGAGAAGAGGGGGCCAUCUGGACAGGGGGGCUGGGGGGAGGAAGGGCCAGCCAGAGCUCUCUUUAUCCUUAGAUUUGGAGCUGAUCCAUAAGUAACCACAGAGAGCUUUAGUGCUAAAAUCCAGUCAGUCCCUUUAUACCCUUGAGGAACUGUGGGACUCUAUCUUUCAAACCUCUCCCUAACCUGAGGCACCCAGAAGCCUUUAACAGCAACCACCCUUGGUUUAAAUCACUGCACAUACAGCAUGUGUGUAUAAAGGGAUGGAGAGCUUUCUGCUUGCUUGCUUUCUCUCUCUCUCUCUCUUUCUUCUUCCUUCCUUUCUUACUUUCUUUCUUUCUUCCUUCCUUCCUUCAUCCCUUCCUUUCUUCCUUUCUUUCAGAAUCUUCAGAAAUGUCUUCAUAGCUCCUAUAAUACAUUAAUGAAACCUUGGGUCAUGCCAAACUGAGUAAAAGCAUGUUCAUACGUCACCAUCUAGCUCCAGAGAAUCCAAGAUCCAUCUUGCCUGCCUCUGCUUCCCUGGUGGCUGCUGGUGCCCCGGUGAGAACCCUGUCACGCCAGGCAGUAGCUUUCCAGUUCUGGCUAAACCACUUUGGGAGAAAACCCUUUAUAUGACAGGCCAAGUGGUGUCUGUAGGUGGGGGGAGGAGCUUCGAGUUAGAAGUGAGUUGGCAGUGACAUAUCUGGUCACAUUGGAACUGGAUCCCAGCGUGAUGGGGCUUUCUCGUUUUCUCGUUUAUUGGGGUGGGUCUGCACUUACCUUAACCGCAGGCUCCUCUGCAUCCUGGUCACUUGAUGGUUUAAUGGCUUCCUUUGGCCAGUGCAUGUCUUCAGCUUCACCUUCUGUACCAACAAGUGCUACCCACAAUUAGGCACCUAAUAAAUACUUUGGGUGCAGCCCUGUUUGCCAGGUAUUUGCUGAACACCUGCAAGGUGCUGGGUCCCCAGUGCCUCUUCACUCCUUCCCUUAGGGCUUGUCCUCAGGAAGCCAGAGUUGCCUCUGACCGGAGACUGCAGCAGGAUCCCUAACCCUUGUGCCUCACUACCCCAACCAGCCCACUGCUCUCCCCUCUCACAGAUGGUCGCCACUGCUUGAUACCGAGGUUCCCCUUGGUUUGCUGUCCCACACAGAGUUUCUCUACUUCAACACUAUUGACACCUUGGGCCAGAUUCGUCUCCAUGAUGGGCACUGCCCCGUAGUAACAACUCCCCAAGUCCCUAGACUUUGUUAAAUCCCUUCCAGUGACAAAAUCCUGAGGAGACCUCUGGUCCACAGGAUGGAAAAGAAAAGUCACAAGGUGAAGGUGGCCGUGCCGGUCUGGAGGCAUCAGGAGUUGUCAGCUGGAAACCAUACACCCAGUUGACUCUCAGGCACCAAGCCACCUUGUAUGGCAAUAUGACAAUGAGCCAUUUAGUGUUCAGAGCAUACUAUGUCUCACAUCUUCAUGACAUCUGAAGACAUCGCUUUCCGAAUGCUAAUGACAAGGUGAACCAAGGAUCACACUCUGUUGACUAAAGCAGGGAAAUGGGAGAGAGAUUUUAGCUUUACACGUGUGUUUAGAAAGCAGAUCUAUGGUUGCUUGGGGAACUGGGGAGGGAGGGGUGGCAGGAAGCCCUGAUGAUGAUGGACAUGUUCCUUAUCUUGAUUGUGGUGAUAUUUUCAUGAGUGUGUACAUGUGUCAAAACAUAUUAAGUUGUAUACUUUAAAUAUAUGCAGUUUACAGUGUGUCAAUUACACUUCCAC